GGAGAGAUGGCCGAGCGGUCGAAGGUGCUCGCUUGGAAAGCGAGUGUACCCCACAAGGGUACCGGGGGUUCGAAUCCCUUUCUCUCCA
rnacentral:tRNA from 1 species